AGCAGCCGCGGUAAUUCCAGCUCCAAUAGCGUAUAUUAAAGUUGUUGCAGUUAAAAAGCUCGUAGUUGAAUUUCGGGGUUAGUAGGUUGGUCAUGCCUCUGGUAUGUACUGGUCUCACUGAUUCCUCCUUCCUGAUGAACCUUAAUGCCAUUAAUUUGGUGUUUUGGGGAAUUUGGACUGUUACUUUGAAAAAAUUAGAGUGUUUAAAGCAAGCUAACGCUUGAAUACAUUAGCAUGGAAUAAUGAAAUAGGACGUUCGAUCCUAUUUUGUUGGUUUCUAGGAUUGACGUAAUGAUUAAUAGGGAUAGUUGGGGGCAUUAGUAUUCAAUUGUCAGAGGUGAAAUUCUUGGAUUUAUUGAAGACUAACUACUGCGAAAGCAUUUGCCAAGGAUGUUUUCAUUAAUCAAGAACGAAAGUUAGGGGAUCGAAGACGAUCAGAUACCGUCGUAGUCUUAACCAUAAACUAUGCGACUA
rnacentral:misc_RNA from 1 species